rnacentral:rRNA from 1 species
GACAGAGGGGGCGAGCGUUGUCCGGAUUCAUUGGGCGUAAAGAGCUCGUAGGCGGCUUGGUAAGUCGGCGGUGAAAUUUCGGGACUCAACUCCGAACAGCCCGUCGAUACUGCCAUGGCUCGAGUCCGGAAGGGGAGUGUGGAAUUCCUGGUGUAGCGGUGGAAUGCGCAGAUAUCAGGAGGAACACCAGUGGCGAAGGCGGCACUCUGGUCCGGUACUGACGCUGAGGAGCGAAAGCUAGGGGAGCAAACAGG